rnacentral:rRNA from 1 species
AUGCUGCCUGUAUAUUGGUCGGAUAGUGGCCAUGCAACAGUCAGACAGUGGCCGGACAAUGGCCUGGCUCGGCCCGACGCCCAGCCCCGUGCUGCUGCUGCGGGCAGCACCCCAUCGCGCGCGGCCGUCGUUGCGCUCCCCGCGCUGGCGCUGCUCAUACCGCCGCGCGUGCUCGCUGCUCCGGCUCCGCCGCACCUGCAUGCUGCUUCGCUCGCCUCCACACCAGCACCGGCCCUGCUCCUCCGCCUCCCGCGCUACUCUGCCGGGCUCCGGAGCUGCUGGCCGGGUCGCGUGUCCUGCGCCGGCUCUGCCUCGGGCUCGCGUCGUCGUCCUGGCGCCGGCGUCCUCCGCCCCCUGUGCUACUCAGCCGGGCUCCGGAGCCGUUGGCCGGGUCGCGCGUCCUGUGCCGGCUCCGCCUCGGGCUCGCGUCGCCACCUAGCGCCUCCCUGCGUCGCGCGAGGCUACCUACUCGCGUUGCGUGCCUCCUCAGCAUCGCCCGCGCUGCUGCCGGCCGCGUCCGCCUCGCCUCCGCCGGCGUCCACCCGCGCCCCGAGCUCGGCCUCCCGUCGCCGGCGCCGCUUGGCCCCGCUUUCGGCCUCUCCGCGCCGGCUCCUCCCCGCCGGGUGCUCCGCGCCGGGUCCUUUGCGCCGGCUCCGGCUUCCCGCAACCCGGCCGGCCAGCUCCCGCGCGACCGCUUCCCCCGCAUCUCGGACUUCUCCGUCCGCGUCAAGGCCGACUCCCGCGCACCUCUGCAUCACACCAAAGACCACGCGCGCCUCUCCGUCGCCGCGUCUGAGGCCCCCGUUUGCUCCGCGCCUUGCCGCACCUCACGGGUCUCCGGCGGCCUGCCGCUCCUGCGCGCCGGCUGCUGCUCAGCACCCGCGGUCAUGGCGGUACCUCCGAGGCCCCUGGGUCGCCUCCUGCGCGCCCGCGCAUGCCAUGACCGGCCGCGCCCGGCUCCCUCCGCUCAGGUCGCCGGUUCCGCCCCCGCAGCGGGCUGCCGCCUGGUCCGGCCGUUCUUGGCCCGCGCACGCGCCGACUCCGACUUCUGAGCCGGCCGGCUCGCUGCCGGUCUCGCCCCACACAGCUCCACGCCGGCACCACCACCCACCUUCCCGUGCUGGCUGCACCUCGACGGCUGCGGUCGCGCCCACCUGCCAGCUCGCGGUCGCGCUGUCCGCACCCCGCCUCCGGCUCAUCCGAGCCGCUCCGUGCGGGCCUCCCCGCCAUCCCGUACCGGCUCCGCCUCCGCUCCGGCCGGCUCCUGCGCUCGCCGGCUCCUCGCAACCCGGCUGGCCGGCUCCCACGCGCCGGCUCUGCCCGUCACCCGGCCGACCAGCCCCGUCCGUCGCCCGGCUCGGCCUCCCCUGCCGCCGGCUGCUACGCUCCAAGUCCAGCCGCCUGCUGCGGUCGAGUGCCCGAAGAGAAAAGCAGAGGCCGACUGCAAAGAAAAAGGGCCGGCUGCUCAGCCCCUGCCGACUGGUUAAAAAAAUAAAGAAGUCACAGGCCGGCUGGCCUUGUAAUAAAGGAAAAGAAAAAGAAGAGGUCUGGCUGCCCGCAUGGAGUCGGACAAAAAGAAGAGAAAGAAAGUGGCCGGCUCCCGCCACCCGGAUGGCCGGGUCAUGCCCGUUUCCUGGACGACCGGCUCCUGCCACCCGGACAGGCCGGGUCCUCACGCCUGCUUCCCGGCCUUGA